AACCGCAAUUAUAAUUACAGUAACGUAAAAUUAUCUAUUCUAUGGAUUUUUUUCACAAAAGAGAUACUUGUGAAUAUUUUGUAUUUUCUACAGAUAUAUAUAUAUUCAUUAUUAAGAUAUCUUAAAGAUCAUUAAUACCACAGAUGUAGAUAACAUGUAUGUGUAUAUUGUUUGAAAAAAGAGCGAAAAAUAAUUAAAAUGGCUGAAACACGGAUCUGGAGUCAAACAGGCCUCGUCCCGGUUGCUUCUGCAAUCGAGCUUUUUU